rnacentral:misc_RNA from 1 species
CCUCCCGGUCGCCUCUCCCUCUGGAUGGGGCGUCGGGUGGUUGUUCCGUGCCUCGGGCAGCGCUGGGACGACGCAUGAGUGGCAAUCAGGACAUGUUCCCGUUGCAGGCUCCGUGCCUCGCGCAUSGAACUGCUCUGGACUGUCCGCUCCAUUUGGUCUCUCGCACCGUCGCUCCUGCGGCUGGUUGCGAUUGGUUGCUUGGUUCCUGUGCUUGAUACCGGAUCUCGGUACUCGGAUUUGUCGUUAUCCGCGUUUUGGRRCCCUUUUCCUCCUCCGCCUACCGGGCGUUGGUGGUUAUGGUGCGGGCAUCGGCGCUUUCCGUCCGUUCGGUCGUAGACCUCUGGUCGCUUCCGGUCGUGUCGGCGCGUAGAUGGCUUGCGUGUUCUCUUGGUUACGGAGAUAUCUAAAGUUGUCGCACGGUCCUCCUUUGGCCGUUGCGAUCUCGACGUGUCGAAGCUUCUUUGCUUCCGCUCGGGUGACCAUCGUGCUUCCCUUUGAGCUCGCGGUGACUCACGUCUCCGCGUUCGUCCUUGGGAGGCAUCGAGGUGUACAACGGAAUGCU